rnacentral:rRNA from 1 species
GAUGAACGCUAGCGGCAGGCCUAAUACAUGCAAGUCGGACGGGAUCCAUUGAUAGCUUGCUAUCAAUGGUGAGAGUGGCGCACGGGUGCGUAACGCGUGAGCAACCUGCCUCCAUCAGGGGGAUAGCCUCUCGAAAGAGAGAUUAACACCGCAUAAUAUCAACAGUUCGCAUGUUCAGUUGAUUAACUAUUUAUAGGAUGGAGAUGGGCUCGCGUGACAUUAGCUAGUUGGUAGGGUAACGGCUUACCAAGGCGACGAUGUCUAGGGGCUCUGAGAGGAGAAGCCCCCACACUGGUACUGAGAAACGGACCAGACUCCUACGGGAGGCAGCAGUAAGGAAUAGUGGUGGAUGGGCGGAAGCCUGAACCAGCCAUGCCGCGUGAAGGAGGAUUGGCAUAUGGGUUGUAAACUGCUUUUGUCCAGGAAUAACCCUAAAUACGGGUAUUUAGCUGAAGGUACUGGAAGAAUAAGGAUCGGCUAACUCCGUG